GAAUAGCUCAUUCAGUAGAGCAAGAGACUCUUAAUCUCAGAGCCCUGGGUUCAAGCCCCAUGUUGGGUGCU